UUCUCAGUUGCUUCCGUCUCUUUUUCCCCAAUCAAAUGGGAAAAAAUGGUUCUUUUUUGUUGUGGUUGCGAGAGGUUGAUUUGAUGUGAAACCCUAGUCACUUCCGUGCUGUUAGGUCAAAGAAGGGGAAGGGCAUGAGAUUGAAUGGAGGAAGGGGAGAAGGCGGGGCGGGAGUAAGAUGAGCGCCGCCGCGAUCGCUCCUCCCGUCGAGGAUCUCAUGCCCUUGAGCCGCUCCUCGCCGUGCGAUGGAUGAGACGUAGGGUUCCGUCGGAACCACAACCAGCUUGUCCCUCAGGUUGGGGCAGGCGAUCUUCUCCUCCGCCGCCCUACUCCUCAUGUCCGUCGGCGUCAAGUUCUACAGCUAUACUGCUUUCUGCUGAUAACGCGGCACCUGCCGAGGAGCUCCAGCAUCGUGAGCCUACGGGAGGCGUGCGAGGAUGACGGAGUUGUGCAUUUGGUCAUGGAGCUGUGUGAGGGCGGGGAGCUCUUUGACCGCAUUGUGGCGAGGGGCCACUAGUCAGAGCGCGCGGCAGCUGUGGUCAUGAAGACCAUUGUUGAGGUCGUGCAGCUCUGCCAUUGCCAUGGGGUGAUCCAUCAAGACCUCGAGCCAGAGAAUUUCUUGUUUUCAAACAAGAAGGAGAACUCACCCUUGAAGGCAAUUGACUUUGGGCUGUCAAUAUUCUUCCAGCCUGCUGAUAACGCGGCACCUGCCGAGGAGCUCCAGCAUCGUGAGGCUACGGGAGGCGUGCGAGGACGACGGAGUUGUGCAUUUGGUCAUGGAGCUGUGUGAGGGCGGGGAGCUCUUUGACCGCAUUGUGGCGAGGGGCCACUAGUCAGAGCGCGCGGCAGCUGUGGUCAUGAAGACCAUUGUUGAGGUCGUGCAGCUCUGCCAUUGCCAAGGGGUGAUCCAUCGAGACCUCGAGCCAGAGAAUUUCUUGUUUGCAAACAAGAAGGAGAACUCGCCCUUGAAGGCAAUUGACUUUGGGUUGUCAAUAUUCUUCCAGCCUGGUGAAUGAUUUUCUGAGAUAGUUGGAAGCCCUUAUUACAUGGCUCCAUAAGUUUUUAAAUGGAAUUAUGGACCAGAAAUUGAUAUAUCAAGUGCUGGAGUUAUACUCUAUAUCUUACUGUGUGGAGUUCCCCUAUUUUGGGCUGAAACUGCACAGGGAGUUGCACAAGCAAUUCUUGUUGUACGAAGGAGCUUGAAAUUGUUCAAUUCGAACAAGGAAAGGAAAGGAAAAAAGAAGCCUACGUGGAAAGUUGUAAAGGGUCCUCGACAACCUAAUGCGAAACAAUGUGAGUUUUAUGUGAUGAAAUUUAUGAGAGAAAUUAUUGAAGGAAAUGCUACCAGCGAGAAGGAUUCACUUAGCUCAAUGUGAUGCUUUAUUGAAAGAAAUUAAGGCGACGGUAGUUCGACAUCCAGAUAUUUUGACUAUGGAAACUAUAAAAGAAGGCAAUAAGGGCUAUGCUGCAGAGAUUUUGGUUGUCAUAUACAAUGAACAUACGGAGGAUGUAGAUGACCAAUCAAAGUUUAGGAUACUUCUGAACAUUCCUUGUAUUUCAGAGCUUUGGACAGCAUGGGAGAGAACUUAUUACCUCUGAGGUAGCUUGGCAACUACUUUCUGUUUUAGCCAAAGAAUGUAAUAUGCAAAGAGUGGAUCUUAUGUUCAUCCACAAACUGCUGGAUAACCUUGUUGUAAAGGUAACAUAAAACAAGAACUUGAAAGAAAAUCUUUUGACAGAUCAUACAAAUACUAAAUCCUGAAAUCACCAGUCAUUUGUUAGUUUUACACUUUUCUUAGAUAAAUUGUUUUUAGAUCAUUGUAAUUUCAAGUCAUACCAGAACUCUGAACUGGAUGAUAUGCAUUAGUCACUUGAAAAUAUCUUUCAUUUUAUCCCUCUCAUUUUAAAAUCAGUUCU